rnacentral:rRNA from 1 species
UACGUAGGGUCCGAGCGUUGUCCGGAAUUACUGGGCGUAAAGCGUGCGUAGGCGGUCCGAUAAGUCUGAUGUGAAAGCCCUGGGCUCAACUCAGGAACUGCAUUAGAUACUGACGGACUGGAGUACCGGAGAGGGAAGCGGAAUUCCUGGUGUAGCGGUGAAAUCCGUAGAUAUCAGGAGGAAUAUCGGAGGCGAAGGCGACCAACUGGUGGUGUAUUGACGCUGAGGUGCGAAAGCGUGGGGAGCAAACAGG